rnacentral:rRNA from 1 species
AGCUCCAAUAGCGUAUAUUUAAGUUGUUGCAGUUAAAAAGCUCGUAGUUGGAUUUCAGGUGGGAAUGAAUGGUCCGCCGUUUCGGUGCGCACUAUGACUUCCUACUUUUCUGUCGGGGACGCGCUUCUGGCCUUAACUGGCGCGGGACGCGGAGUCGGCGAUGUUACUUUGAAAAAUUAGAGUGUUCAAAGCAGGCCUACGCAUUGAAUACAUUAGCAUGGAAUAACGCGAUAGGACUCACUUCCUAUUGUGUUGGUCUUCGGGAAGGGAGUAAUGAUUAAGAGGGACAGUUGGGGGCAUUCGUAUUUCAUUGUCAGAGGUGAAAUUCUUGGAUUUAUGGAAGACGAACUUCUGCGAAAGCAUUUGCCAAGGAUGUUUUCA